rnacentral:rRNA from 1 species
AGAGAAACCAACUGGGAUUCCCUCAGUAACGGCGAGUGAACGGGGAAGCGUCCAUCGCCGAACCCUUCGUCUAUUGGGCGUCGGGAAUGUGGCGUUAGGGAGGGAGGUUUCUCGGGCGACGAGCGUGCAACAAGUCCCCCUGACAGGGGCAGUUUCCCACGGAGGGUGCCAGGCCCGUGGUUGCCGCUUCGUGCUCGACGAGCUUCCUCCCCAGAGUCGGGUUGCUUGGGAGUGCAGCCCAAAGUGGGUGGUAGACUCCAUCUAAGACUAAAUACGGCCGCGAGACCGAUAGCGAACAAGUACCGUGAGGGAAAGUUGAAAAGGACUUUGAAGAGAGAGUUCAAGAGUGCGUGAAACUGCUCGGAGGUAAACGGGUGGGCCCACGAACGGUCCUGGUCGGAUGGUUCGGUCGGAGGGGUUCGGGCCCGUCUGAGGAACUGGUUCCGCCAAGGACUUUUCCUCUUUCGUGCUGCUCGAGUCUUCCGGUGCAUUCCUUCCGGUGAGGACGUCGCAGCCGGUUGGGAGUGAUCGGCCUGGAGGAGGGGCUACGGCAGGUGGCAGUGGGGUUCCGCUCCGUUGUGUCUAGCCGGCCCUUCCGUGGUGCGAUCCCCGACCGAGGACUACGUCUCCCGUUCGGGAGGCAUGCCGUGCUCUCGCCUGUGCGAGCGGGAAAUCCCGCGGCGAGCGUAUGCGGCUGGCGACAUCGGUCACCUACCCGACCCGUCUUGAAACACGGACCAAGGAGUCUAACAUGUGCGCGAGUCAGUGGGACUCGAUCAAGCCCACGGGCAGAACGAAAGCGAUCUGUCGGGAUCCACGCUUCUUGCGUGGCGCACCGAUGGCCUGGUGCCCGCACGGGCAUCGGAGCAGGAGCGUACACGUUGGGACCCGAAAGACGGUGAACUAUGCCCGGGUAGGAUGAAGCCGGGGGAAACUCCGGUGGAGGUCCGCAGCGGUUCUGACGUGCAAUUCGAUCGUCAAACCCGGGUAUAGGGGCGAAAGACUAAUCGAACCGUCUAGUAG